rnacentral:lncRNA from 1 species
UCUUCUCCAACACAUCCUCUUUUUUUUUUUCAUACAAAUAACCCCACCCCACCCCCUUUAGGGAUCAUCUUCUCCAUUGAAAUGUAGAACAAACUUCCAUCAUUUCCUCAAAGAAUCUUUCAUUGGAGGUUGGAUUUUCAAUUCAAAUCUAUUCUAAAAUUGAUUUUUCUUUUUCGAAUCUUUUUCUUUGUCGUAUGAGUUUCCAAAUCUGCCAUCACCUUCUUCACCAUUUUCUUUGGAAAAAAUGCAUACCAAUGUGUAAAUGGAUUAGUCUAUCUUUCUUGACUAAUUAGCCACUGUAUUAACAACAUUAUUAAUUCCUUUUCCUUUUUUUCAUGUAUAUCAUUAUUGUAAAAACAAAUCUAACACAAAGAAGGUGAUGGUAGAUUAAUUUUUCCAUCAUUUCUUAUUAUCGUAAGGAUGAAAUUUUAUCAAAAAUAUAUUUUUGAUUUAAUAUUUUUUUUAUAUGCAGGAAUGAUAUGAUUUUUUUCAUCUUCAUCGUCCUUUGUUAAAGGAAAAAAAGAGAACCAAGUCCACAACCAUCGAUGUUAUCUCUAUCUAUUCAUGCUGAUGCUCUUCACCUUCACUACAAAUGGUAAUAGUAUUGGAUUCAAAAUUAAGAGAACGUCAUGCGGAAACUUAAAGUUUGCAAAUCAUGAGCGAUAAAUCAGACGACAAAGAAAACUGUAAUUAAAACACAUAUUAUUUGAUAUGAUUGGCCAAGAAGCCUACAUAUUGAAAACUAAAUGAAAAAGCUUGAAAUCUGUUGGGAGAAAUCUCCCCCUAAACAAGACUCUUAAAAGAUACAUUGUGGAUGCUAUUGUGUUGUUGUAUGAGAAGUGGUAUUCUAUUUAUAGUGUUCCAAAAUCUUUCCUUCAAGAAAAAGGUUAGCCAAAUAUGGAAAAGAAUUAUAUUUUUCUUUUAGGAAAAGUAAAAGUAAUUAUUGUAUUACUUUUAUUUUCUUUUCAAGAAAAAGUAAAACUUAAUUUUGAUAAGAAAAACAGGGCAAAAACACUAACAAAUAUCCCCCAAGAAGAUAAGCAGAAAAAGGAACCAAUAAUGAUUAAAAC